rnacentral:tRNA from 1 species
GCAUCCGUGGCCGAGUGGCUGAAGGCAACGGACUCAUAAUCCGUCUUCUGUAAAGACUUCACUGGUUCGAAUCCAGUCGGAUGCA